rnacentral:rRNA from 1 species
UUCCUACGGGAGGCAGCAGUGGGGAAUAUUGCGCAAUGGACGAAAGUCUGACGCAGCGACGCCGCGUGUAGGAUGACGCCUUUCGGGGUGUAAACUACUGUUGCCCGGGACGAAACCCUCCUUUCGAGGAGAUUGACGGUACCGGGUGAGGAAGCACCGGCUAACUCUGUGCCAGCAGCCGCGGUAAUACAGAGGGUGCGAGCGUUGUCCGGAAUCACUGGGCGUAAAGGGCGCGUAGGUGGCUUGGUAAGCGGGUGGUGAAAGUCCGGGGCUCAACCCCGGAUCUGCCGUGCGAACUGCCGAGCUUGAGCACUGUAGAGGCAGGUGGAAUUCCGGGUGUAGCGGUGGAAUGCGUAGAGAUUCGGAAGAACACCAGUGGCGAAGGCGGCCUGCUGGGCAGUUGCUGACACUGAGGCGCGACAGCGUGGGGAGCAAACAGGAUUAGAUACCCUGGUAGUCA